rnacentral:rRNA from 1 species
GUCCUAGCCCUAAACGAUGCUCAUUAGGUGUGGGAGGUAUCGACCCCUUCCGCGCCGUAGCUAACGCAUUAAAUGAGCCGCCUGGGGAGUACGACCGCAAGGUUGAAACUCAAAGGAAUUGACGGGGGCCCGCACAAGCGGUGGAGCAUGUGGUUUAAUUCGACGCAACGCUAAGAACCUUACCUGGGCUUUAACUACUGGUAGUAAGUCUUUGGAAACAUGGACUGAUCCGCAAGGAAGCCAGCAGAGGUGCUGCAUGGUUGUCGU